AUUGUUUCAUUGCAUAAUUCACCGUAUCGUAUUGUUUCGAAUGGAAAUCGGGAUCUCUUUUUACUCCUGAAUUGAUUGCGAACAAUGAUUGAAAAAAUGUUCAUUGCUAACGACAUAAUCAAACGAAUAAGUAAAAGACCGUUGCUACAGUCAAAGGAAUCCCUAAUACUGGCCAAGUCGCCGGGUAAACAAGGUGCCCAGUUGUUGAAUAAAAUCAACGCGCUUCGGAGAUUGAUUAUUUUUCGAAUUAAUUUCCAUAACAACAGCGAGUAUUAUAUGAGAGAAAGAGAAAAAAAAAAAAAAAAUAGAAAUAAAAAAAGAAAGGAAAUCAUU